rnacentral:rRNA from 1 species
AAACCUUGAUGGUAACCCUUACCCCCCCCCAUCCGCCUGGGUACUACGAGCACCAGCUUAAAACCCAAAGGACUUGGCGGUGCUUUAGACCCCCCUAGAGGAGCCUGUUCUAGAACUGAUAACCCCCGUUAAACCUCACCAGCCCUUGUUAAUACCGCUUAUAUACCGCCGUCGUCAGCUUACCCUGUGAAGGUAUAACAGUAAGCAAAGUUAGUAAAACUCAAAACGUCAGGUCGAGGUGUAGCGAAUGAGCUGGGAAGAAAUGGGCUACAUUUUCUCUUGAGAAAAAACGAAUGGUGUGUUGAAACACCCACCUAAAGGAGGAUUUAGCAGUAAGUGGUAAAUAGAGUGUACC